rnacentral:rRNA from 1 species
GACGUAGGGCGCGAGCGUUGUCCGGAUUUAUUGGGCGUAAAGGGCGCGUAGGCGGCUGUACAAGUCAAAGGUGAAAUCCCUCGGCUCAACUGAGGAACUGCCUUUGAAACUGUACGCUUGAGGCCGGGAGGGGGUAGCGGAAUUCCCAAUGUAGCGGUGAAAUGCGUAGAUAUUGGGAGGAACACCAGUGGCGAAGGCGGCUACCUGGACCGGUUCUGACGCUGAGGCGCGAAAGCGUGGGUAGCAAACAGG